AAAAUCCUUUUUUUCGGAGCUCCGAACGGGGCAAACCCCAUGGGGAUCCGCUCUGACGGAUGCAAAUUGACAUCCUUAGGGUGAACAUCAAAUCCACCAACAUCGCUGCAGGUAUUGAACAAUUAUGGUUCUUUGUUUCUAUGGUUUCAAUUUUGGGUCAAAGUUGUUCAUUUAAGUAUGAUACUAGUAUGCCAAUUUCAGCUUGUCGGCUUCCUUCCUCCGUAGUUGGAUAGACUAUGUAGUUCAUUUAUAGUACACAAAGUUGCUUUUAGUAGAGUUUUAUAGAUUAGUCUAGUUGUGUCAAAUAUAUUUGUUUUUGCUUUUAGAUUGGUUUCAUAAGAGUCUUGUAAUAAUUGUUCCGAUCCUACAGUUUUCAAAAACAUAUUCAUAACAUAAAUUGCAUGUUAUGAUGAUCCUUAAUCGAAUGAGAAUAGAAAACCUACAUGGUUAUAAAUUCAAUACAAUAGAUGUCCCUGAUGGAAAAUAUGAUAUUUGAACCUAUACGGUAAAAUGGGAGGAUGAACGUACUGUGCCCCAAUGAGAUCUUAACUUUGAUAAAUUGAAUUGACGGUAAAAAAUAGAUUGAUUGUAUAAUUUCUCGACGCUAACAGAAAAUCUGGUGUUUGAACCUAUUUGGUUCUAAAUUUGAAAAAUGAAAAGGAUGAUGUUAUUUUGCCCGAAUAGGAUUGGAAAUGAAAUUUGAUAUUUGGAUUAAGUUACAAAUUGAAUUGACGGUAUCGGUGGUUGGAACGACCCUUAAUCGAAUAAGAAUAGAAAACCUACAUGGUUUUAAAUUAAAUUCAAUACAAUAGAAUGUCCCUGAUGGAAAAUAUGAUAUUUGAACCUGUACGGUUCAAUAAAAUGGGAGGAUGAUGGUACUGUGACCCAAUGAGAUCUUAACUUUGAUAAAAUUGAAUUGACGGUAUAAAAUAGGUGAAUUGUGUUGUGUCUUGAUGACCCUAACAGAAAAUAUGAUGUUUGAACCUUUUCGGUUCUAAAUUUGAAAAACGAAAGGAUGACUGUAUUUUGCCAGAUUAUGAUUGGAAAUGAAAUUUGAUAUUUGGAUUAAGUUACAAAUUGAAUUGACGUUAUCGGUGGUUGGAACUAAAUUUAAUCGAAUAAGAAUAGAAAACCUACAUGGUUUUAAAUUCAAUACAAUAUAAUGUCCCUGAUGGAAAAUAUAAUAUUUGAACCUAUACGGUUCAAUAAAAUGGGAGGAUGAUGGUAUUGUGACCCAAUGAGAUCUUAACUUUAAUAAAUUGAGUUGACGGUAUAAAAUAGAUGGAUUGUUUUGUGUCUUUGAAAAACGAAAGGAUGACAGUAUUUUACCGGGUUAGGAUUGGAAAUGAAGUUUGAUACUUUGAUAUUUGGAUUAAGUUACAAAUUGAAUUGACGGUAUCAGUAGUUGGAAUGAUGACAUUUUGAUUGGUUCGUCUUUAAAUAUGCUGCUCCCUCAAGGUAUGCUACUAUGCAUUGUAUCUAUUCUUAAUUUAAGUCUUUUAUCACUACUACAUGCUAUGAUACUAUGCUUGUCUUUUGUUAACAAAACAUGCUUUAUUGUGAUCAGAUCCUACAGUUUUCAAAAACAUCUAUACAUAACAUAAAUUGCAUGUUAUGACUACCCUUGAUCGAAUGAGAAUAGAAAACCUACAUGGUUUUAAAUUCAAUACAAUAGAUGUCCCUUAUGGAAACUAUGAUAUUUGAACCUAUACGGUUCGAUAAAAUGGGAGGAUGAACGUAUUGUGCCCCAUUGAGAUCUUGACUUUGAUAAAUUGAAUCGACGGUAAAAAUUAGAUGGAUUGUAUAAUUUCUCGAUGACACUAACAUAAAAUAUGAUGUUUGAACCUAUUUGGUUCUAAAUUUGAAAAAUGAAAGGAUAUUGGUAUUUUGCCCGAAUAGGAUUGGAAAUGAAAUUUGAUAUUUGGAUUAAGUUACAAAUUUAAUUGACGAUAUCGGUGGUUGGAACGUCCCUUAAUCGAAUGAGAAUUGAAAACCUACAUGGUUUUAAAUUUAAUACAAUAGAAUGUCCCUAAUGGAAAAUAUGAUAUUUGAACCUGUACGGUUCAAUAAAAUGGGAGGAUGAUGGUACUGUGACC
rnacentral:lncRNA from 1 species